UGGCGGGGAAAGGGCAAGAUCACAAGAUGGUGAAUCUAGAAGAUGGGUGGAACUUCAUCAUGAAGAAGGGCAUCAAAAAUCUCAUGAGCAUCCUCGAGGGCAAGCUGGAGCCGCAGUUCAACUCCAAGGAUUCACAUUGCUCUACACCUCGCAAAAGACUCAGCACUACUCGCAACAGCUCUACGACAAGUACCAUCUGUCCUUCAAAGAGUAUAUCCGGGCCAUGUCCUAUCAUUUCAGUUUUGCGUCGGCCAAGAUAGGAGUUUUGCAAGGCAAUUAACUGAUGCACUUCUAGGCACAACAAUUUGUAAAUCUCUUGAAUUAAGAACGCCGCCAACAUCUUGCUUGACUCGGUCCCCCAUGCAGCAGGGUAACUGACAUCUGCAGCGUUGAGCCAAGCACCAUGGAUGCAGUCUCAUAUGUGAAUGGCUUCUUUACCUUUCUUUAGUAUUUCUGGUGCUGACUUAUCAUCGUCUUUUUCUGGUUGAAGGUCUUCAUCAUAGCAUAUUAAACGUUACAUUGGAUAGA